AAAAAAAAAAAAAAAAAAACCACCUCUCAAUACACCACAGAUCUCCAACUUGAUUCAAAUUUGUGAUCAAGUAUUUUGAAAUUAUUACACCCUAAGACUUUUCAGGUCCUUUCAGCUAACAUCAUGAUGGGGUGCAUCUGUUUGUUUUAUUGGCCUUGUUUCCCAAUUUUCUGUUGUUAGUGCUUGAUUGGUUUUUUAGCAUUUGGAGAUGUACUCUUGGAAGCUUGGCAACUUAAGUUAAAUAUAAAAUUUUUGCAUUUUGGAUGGCUUUCUUUUUUGUCUAGCUCUAAAAUACCUGCAAUGCUGAGGACCCUUGUCUGCUAGUUGAGCUUUACUGUUCUAUAGAAGACUCAUAAGGCCAUUGAUUGGUG
rnacentral:misc_RNA from 1 species